AGAGUUUGAUCCUGGCUCAGGAUGAACGCUGGCGGCGCGCCUAACACAUGCAAGUCGAACGAGCGAGAGAGAGCUUGCUUUCUUGAGCGAGUGGCGAACGGGUGAGUAACGCGUGAGGAACCUGCCUCAAAGAGGGGGACAACAGUUGGAAACGACUGCUAAUACCGCAUAAGCCCACGGCUCGGCAUCGAGCAGAGGGAAAAGGAGCAAUCCGCUUUGAGAUGGCCUCGCGUCCGAUUAGCUAGUUGGUGAGGUAACGGCCCACCAAGGCGACGAUCGGUAGCCGGACUGAGAGGUUGAACGGCCACAUUGGGACUGAGACACGGCCCAGACUCCUACGGGAGGCAGCAGUGGGGAAUAUUGCACAAUGGGGGAAACCCUGAUGCAGCGACGCCGCGUGGAGGAAGAAGGUCUUCGGAUUGUAAACUCCUGUUGUUGAGGAAGAUAAUGACGGUACUCAACAAGGAAGUGACGGCUAACUACGUGCCAGCAGCCGCGGUAAAACGUAGGUCACAAGCGUUGUCCGGAAUUACUGGGUGUAAAGGGAGCGCAGGCGGGAAGACAAGUUGGAAGUGAAAUCCAUGGGCUCAACCCAUGAACUGCUUUCAAAACUGUUUUUCUUGAGUAGUGCAGAGGUAGGCGGAAUUCCCGGUGUAGCGGUGGAAUGCGUAGAUAUCGGGAGGAACACCAGUGGCGAAGGCGGCCUACUGGGCACCAACUGACGCUGAGGCUCGGAAGUGUGGGUAGCAAACAGGAUUAGAUACCCUGGUAGUCCACACUGUAAACGAUGAUUACUAGGUGUUGGAGGAUUGACCCCUUCAGUGCCGCAGUUAACACAAUAAGUAAUCCACCUGGGGAGUACGACCGCAAGGUUGAAACUCAAAGGAAUUGACGGGGGCCCGCACAAGCAGUGGAGUAUGUGGUUUAAUUCGACGCAACGCGAAGAACCUUACCAAGUCUUGACAUCCCUUGACGAUGCUGGAAACAGUAUUUCUCUUCGGAGCAAGGAGACAGGUGGUGCAUGGUUGUCGUCAGCUCGUGUCGUGAGAUGUUGGGUUAAGUCCCGCAACGAGCGCAACCCUUAUGGUCAGUUACUACGCAAGAGGACUCUGGCCAGACUGCCGUUGACAAAACGGAGGAAGGUGGGGAUGACGUCAAAUCAUCAUGCCCUUUAUGACUUGGGCUACACACGUACUACAAUGGCGUUAAACAAAGAGAAGCAAGACCGCGAGGUGGAGCAAAGCUCAGAAACAACGUCCCAGUUCGGACUGCAGGCUGCAACUCGCCUGCACGAAGUCGGAAUUGCUAGUAAUCGCAGAUCAGCAUGCUGCGGUGAAUAC
rnacentral:rRNA from 1 species